rnacentral:rRNA from 1 species
GCGUUGGGGGGGCGUGCUUACACAUGCAGUCGAACGGUGAAGCCAAGCUUGCUUGGUGGAUCAGUGGCGAACGGGUGAGUAACACGUGAGCAACCUGCCCUGGACUCUGGGAUAAGCGCUGGAAACGGCGUCUAAUACUGGAUAUGAGACGUGAUCGCAUGGUCGUGUUUGGAAAGAUUUUUCGGUCUGGGAUGGGCUCGCGGCCUAUCAGCUUGUUGGUGAGGUAAUGGCUCACCAAGGCGUCGACGGGUAGCCGGCCUGAGAGGGUGACCGGCCACACUGGGACUGAGACACGGCCCAGACUCCUACGGGAGGCAGCAGUGGGGAAUAUUGCACAAUGGGCGAAAGCCUGAUGCAGCAACGCCGCGUGAGGGAUGACGGCCUUCGGGUUGUAAACCUCUUUUAGCAGGGAAGAAGCGAAAGUGACGGUACCUGCAGAAAAAGCGCCGGCUAACUACGUGCCAGCAGCCGCGGUAAUACGUAGGGCGCAAGCGUUAUCCGGAAUUAUUGGGCGUAAAGAGCUCGUAGGCGGUUUGUCGCGUCUGCUGUGAAAUCCCGAGGCUCAACCUCGGGCCUGCAGUGGGUACGGGCAGACUAGAGUGCGGUAGGGGAGAUUGGAAUUCCUGGUGUAGCGGUGGAAUGCGCAGAUAUCAGGAGGAACACCGAUGGCGAAGGCAGAUCUCUGGGCCGUAACUGACGCUGAGGAGCGAAAGGGUGGGGAGCAAACAGGCUUAGAUACCCUGGUAGUCCACCCCGUAAACGUUGGGAACUAGUUGUGGGGACCAUUCCACGGUUUCCGUGACGCAGCUAACGCAUUAAGUUCCCCGCCUGGGGAGUACGGCCGCAAGGCUAAAACUCAAAGGAAUUGACGGGGACCCGCACAAGCGGCGGAGCAUGCGGAUUAAUUCGAUGCAACGCGAAGAACCUUACCAAGGCUUGACAUAUACGAGAACGGGCCAGAAAUGGUCAACUCUUUGGACACUCGUAAACAGGUGGUGCA